AUCACGUGGUCAGGAGAGAGCGCCCGCAGUCCGGGCGCCGCCGAAGGCCGAACGCUCAGGCAAAAGGACUGGCACACAUG
rnacentral:ncRNA from 2 species